CACGCCCUAAACGAUGUCGACUAGUUGUUCGGGAAGGUGACUUCUUGAGUAACGUAGCUAACGCGUGAAGUCGACCGCCUGGGGANCAACGCGAAAAACCUUACCUACCCUUGACAUGUCUGGAAGUCUGCAGAGAUGCGGAUGUGCCUUCGGGAACCAGAACACAGGUGC
rnacentral:rRNA from 1 species